CUACGGGCGGCAGCAGUGGGGAAUAUUGGACAAUGGGGGAAACCCUGAUCCAGCAAUGCCGCGUGUGUGAAGAAGGCCUGCGGGUUGUAAAGCACUUUCGGUUGGGAGGACUGCUUCUAGCACUAAUAUUGUUGGAAGUUGACGUUACCUUCAGAAGAAGCACCGGCUAACUCCGUGCCAGCAGCCGCGGUAAUACGGGGGGUGCAAGCGUUAAUCGGAAUUACUGGGCGUAAAGCGCGCGUAGGCGGCUAGAUCAGUCGGGUGUGAAAGCCCCGGGCUUAACCUGGGAACUGCAUCCGAUACUGUCUAGCUUGAGUACAGGAGAGGAGAGUGGAAUUCCACAUGUAGCGGUGAAACGCGUAGAUAUGUGGAGGAACACCAAUGGCGAAGGCAGCUCUCUGGCCUGAUACUGACGCUGAGGUGCGAAAGCGUGGGGAGCAAACAGGAUUAGAUACCCGUGUAGUC
rnacentral:rRNA from 1 species